AUUGAACGCUGGCGGCAGGCCUUCACAUGCAAGUCGAGCGGAUGAAGGGAGCUUGCUCCUGGAUUGAGCGGCGGACGGGUGAGUAAUGCCUAGGAAUCUGCCUGGUAGUGGGGAUAACGUCCGGAAACGGGCGCAUUACCGCAUACGUCCUGAGGGAGAAAGUGGGGGAUCUUCGGACCUCCGCUAUCAGAUGAGCCUAGGUCGGAUUAGCUAGUUGGUGGGGUAAAGGCCUACCAACGUCGACGAUCCGUAACUGGUCU
rnacentral:rRNA from 1 species